CUAAGUUUGAUGGCGACCGGCGCACGGGUGAGUAACACGUAUCCAACCUGCCGAUGACUCGGGGAUAGCCUUUCGAAAGAAAGAUUAAUACCCGAUGGCAUAGUUCUUCCGCAUGGUAGAACUAUUAAAGGAUUUCGGUCAUCGAUGGGGAUGCGUUCCAUUAGGUUGUUGGCGGGGUAACGGCCCACCAAGCCUUCGAUGGAUAGGGGUUCUGAGAGGAAGGUCCCCCACAUUGGAACUGAGACACGGCCAACUCCUACGGGAGGCAGCAUG
rnacentral:rRNA from 1 species